rnacentral:rRNA from 1 species
UACGUAGGGUGCGAGCGUUAAUCGGAAUUACUGGGCGUAAAGCGUGCGCAAGCGGUGUUGUAAGUCAGAUGUGAAAUCCCCGGGCUUAACCUGGGAACUGCGUUUGAAACUACAAGGCUAGAGUGUGGCAGAGGGGGGUGGAAUUCCACGUGUAGCAGUGAAAUGCGUAGAGAUGUGGAGGAACACCGAUGGCGAAGGCAGCCCCCUGGGUUGACACUGACGCUCAGGCACGAAAGCGUGGGGAGCAAACAGG